UUUGACAGACAAUCGCCGGCGGCCUUGUUGCCGCGGGAGGAAAGUCCGGGCUCCAUAGGGCAGGGUGCUGGAUAACGUCCAGUCGGCGCGAGCCGAAGGAUAGUGCCACAGAAAUGGACCGCCGAUGGCCGCAAGCAAUUGCGGAUCAGGCAAGGAUGGAACCGAGGUGUAAGAGACCCCGAGGAACGCUGGUGACUUCGUUCCUGGUAAACCCCAUCUGGAGCAAGACCUAAUGGGACGCAGCUUCCUUCGUGAAGCAGCCUUUGCCCGAGGCGCGUCCGGGUUGGUCGCUGGAGCCGUCCAGUAAUGUACGGCCUAGAUAGAUGAUUGUCACUCCAAGCGGGAGGGUUGUUCCCGUGAUUACCGCCAAGAGUACAGAACCCGGCUUACGG
rnacentral:RNase_P_RNA from 1 species